rnacentral:misc_RNA from 1 species
GAUGAAGAACGCAGCGAAAUGCGAUAAGUAAUGUGAAUUGCAGAAUUCAGUGAAUCGUCGAAUCUUUGAACGCACCUUGCACCCUUUGGUAUUCCGAAGGGUAUGCUCGUUUGAGUGUCAUUGUACUCUCACACUUCUAAUUCCUUUCGGGAUUGGGAGCGGUGGACUUGGGUGUUGCUGCUUUAGUUGUGGCUCACCUCAAAUAAGUUAGUGCAACUCUUGGUUGGACAUAGUACGGCGUGAUAAGUGUCUUCGCCGGCGCCUCUGUAAGGAGGGUGGCCGAUCGGGAGCUCUGUGCUUCAAACCGUCUUCGGACAAUCUUUGACAACUUGACCUCAAAUCGAGUAGGACUACCCGCUGAACUUAAGCAUAUCAAUAAGCGGAGGA